rnacentral:misc_RNA from 1 species
GAUGAAGAACGUAGCGAAAUGCGAUAAGUAAUGUGAAUUGCAGAAUUCAGUGAAUCAUCGAAUCUUUGAACGCACAUUGCGCCCGCCAGUAUUCUGGCGGGCAUGCCUGUUCGAGCGUCAUUACAACCCUCAGGCCCCCGGGCCUGGCGUUGGGGAUCGGCAGAAGCCCCCUGUGGGCACACGCCGUCCCUCAAAUACAGUGGCGGUCCCGCCGCAGCUUCCAUUGCGUAGUAGCUAACACCUCGCAACUGGAGAGCGGCGCGGCCAUGCCGUAAAACACCCAACUUCUGAAUGUUGACCUCGAAUCAGGUGGGAAUACCCGCUGAACUUAAGCAUAUCAAUAAGCGGAGGA